rnacentral:rRNA from 1 species
CCUACGGGGGGCAGCAGUGGGGGAUAUUGCACAAUGGGGGGAACCCUGAUGCAGCGACGCCGCGUGGGUGAAGGAGUAUUUCGGUAUGUAAAGCCCUAUCGGCAGGGAAGAAAUUGGACGGUACCUGACUAAGAAGCCCCGGCUAACUACGUGCCAGCAGCCGCGGUAAUACGUAGGGGGCAAGCGUUAUCCGGAUUCACUGGGUGUAAAGGGAGCGGAGACGGCCAUGCAAGCCAGGGGUGAAAGCCCGGGGCCCAACCCCGGGACUGCCCUUGGAACUGCAUGGCUGGAGUGCGGGAGGGGCAGGCGGAAUUCCUGGUGUAGCGGUGAAAUGCGUAGAUAUCAGGAGGAACACCGGCGGCGAAGGCGGCCUGCUGGACCGCGACUGACGUUGAGGCUCGAAAGCGUGGGGAGCGAACAGGAUUAGAUACCCGAGUAGUC